rnacentral:lncRNA from 1 species
UUUUUUAAAAACUAUUAUGACUUUUUAAAGAAAAAGUUUCACAGCAUGUAACUUUUAUUAAAAAUAUCCAACUUCAUGCAAUAUUUUUCACUUUCAUCUGAUUGUACAAAAGGCCCUGACAGCAUUUGUCUAAAGACCCCAUAAACAAGCAAUUGUCAGACGUCCCUAAGUAUGAAAGACUGUAACGAUAAAAAUCAAAAUCAUAGCGCCUGAUGACACUAUUAACAACAUUUCAAUUCCCAAUUUGGGUAUAGGCUAGAAUAUCAACCAGAUUCACGAGUUUCAAUAGACUUUAUCUAAAAUUCUCAACAAAACUGGUCGUGAUACAGACUGAGAUUCAUUGCUCUUUACAGAUAGAAUGCGGCUUUCCAAGACCCCAACAUCCUCAUACAAUUGAUCGGAGAAAGCCAAAGCUCCCGGAAUGGCAUAUCUUCUCUCAAGCAGAGGUGCCACUCUUUACACCGUAUUCUGUGCACUUUGUAUCUACAAGAUCAACAUUCUUAUCUACGUCGUCUUGGUGAGCUGAUCCCUGUCAAGAAUUUUGUUCUCUUUCACUAGAAAAUGCUAAUUAAUUUGAACUGUAAGUUGGUAUAAAUCCUUUGGCGUGUUGACUCUCCAUUUCAAGGGUCAUCAAGGAUUUCUGCCGGUGAUAUCUGUUUCUUUUUGCAGCAAGAGCUGAACAAGAUAAUAAUUAAACAAAUCAAUGUUCAACUCAAUACAUGACGUGAGCACAGGUGCAAAAGAAUACGAGAACCAACAAGUUAUAUAUGAUUCUAAUUUGAUGCAGUUGGUUUAAUAUUAAGUAAAACUAAGGCUGAUCCAAGUUAUUUAAGGUAAGUGUAAUUACACAAACAGUGUCAACAAAAGUCGAGUAAUUUGCUUGUUGGGGCAAAAUUUUGGCGAACUUAAACAGAAAGUAACAAAUGGAGGAAAGGAGAAAGAAAUAAACGUUUUGCAGCAUGGAUAGUUUGGUCUGAGUAAGCCUUGGCUCAAAAGUGGCAUAUAAAGCCUGAAAGAUGAGCCAUUGCCUCAAAAGUAAACAAGAAACAACUUUAAAAUCCAUAACACACUAAUAUUUUGUUAGGACCAAUAGAAGACAGGUGCAAGAGUGGAAUGUUCCUUGUGUAGACAGCAGUUAUCAAAGAAUUUAAGGAGAUAAAUAAAACAUGAAAUGCACAACGUUGUGCACUGACACCA